AUGGGCGAUGGGUUCAUGAUACAAGAGGGAAGUUUCGUAAAAGCAACAGGAAGAAUUGCUCAGUUACCCGUCAGUGAGGCUUACUUGGGUCGUCUUGUAAAAGCUCUGGCUAAACCUAUUGAUGGGAAAGGCGAAAUUAUAGCUUCCGAAUCACGCUUAAUUGAAUCUCCUGCUCCAAGUAUAAUUUCCAGGCGUUCCGUAUACAAACCUCUUCAAACAGGGCUUAUUGCUAUCGAUUCGAUGAUCCCUAUAGGGCGCGGUCAGCGUGAGUUAAUUAUUGGGGACAGACAAUCUGGCAAAACAGCAGUAGCCACAGAUACAAUUCUCAAUCAAAAAGGGAAAGGUGUAAUAUGUGUUUAUGUAGCUAUCGGUCAAAGAGCAUCCUCUGUAGCUCAAGUAGUAACUACUUUCCAUGAGGAGGGGGGCAUGGAAUACACUAUUGUAGCGCAAGCUUAUCGCCAAAUGUCCUUUGUAUUAAGAAGACCUCCCGGCCGUGAGUUUUAUCCAGGGGAUGUUUUUUAUUUGCAUUCACGCCUUUUAGAAAGAGCGACUAAAUUAAAUUCUCUUUUGGGAGAAGGAAGUAUGAUCGCUUUACCAAUAGUUGAGAGUCUAUCUGGAGACGUUUCCGCCUAUGUUCCUACUAAUGUAAUCUCCAUUACAGAUGGACAAAUAUUCUUAUCUGCGGAUCUAGUAGGAUCCGCGGCUCAAAUUAAAGCCAUGAAACAAGUAGCUGUCAAAUCAAAAUUGGAACUACGUCAAUUCGCAGAAUUAUAA
rnacentral:rRNA from 1 species